UACGUAGGUGGCGAGCGUUGUCCGGAUUUACUGGGCGUAAAGAGCGCGCAGGCGGUCGUUCAAGUCGCGUGUGAAAGCCCCCGGCUCAACUGGGGAGGGUCACGCGAUACUGAUCGACUCGAAGGCAGGAGAGGGUAGUGGAAUUCCCGGUGUAGUGGUGAAAUGCGUAGAUAUCGGGAGGAACACCAGUGGCGAAGGCGACUACCUGGCCUGUUCUUGACGCUGAGGCGCGAAAGCUAGGGGAGCAGACGGG
rnacentral:rRNA from 1 species